GACGAGCGAUCCGCAAAUGUCGAACGGCCCAAGCUUAAAACAAAAAAUUGUCCCGAGCACGUCAUCCCCAACCUCUCGACCUUAUCCUCCCACCGCACCGCGCCGCGACGCCUGCCCGACCUUGCACGGCGCCGCCCCCAUCUCGCCCGACCUUCCACCGCGCCGCCCCACCCAGCCUCCCACCGCGCCGCGCUGCCCCGCCCCGCCCGGCCUCCCACCGCGCCGCGCCGCCCCGCCCGGCCUUCCAUCGCGCGGCGCCGCCCCGCUCGGCCUUCCUCCGCGUCGCCCGGCCUCCCACCGCGUAGCGCCGCCCCGCCCGAGCUCCCACCGCAACGCACCCUCCCGCUACAUGUCUCACCCUCCCUCGGCUGCAGGUCGCGGCCUCCCGCGGCUGCAGGUCACAGAUUCGACCUCGUCGCUUCACAUAGGGACCGUGGCCUCCCCCGCGUGUGGUCGCCUCCGUCCUGCUUCAAGCCCGUUUCCGACCGUCCAUAGACUGAUUGAACUGACGGGCUUGAUCCCCUUCGACAAUAGCAGCUUCACCAAUGUUGCCGUUAAACAACGCAGCGGUCAGAUGCUUUUCUCUUGUUUUCUCUCGCCUCUGUAAUUUCUUUUUGAUUUUGGGGACUGAGUGAGUGCAGUUCACCGAGGCAUUCCAUGUGUUGAUGGGUUUUCUUGGUUAGCACAAAUUCAUGAACUAUCAUUUUUUUAAUUGAAUUGUUGCUACUCUUGAUUCUGAUAUGAGGGGAGAAGACAAAACUAAAUGAUUCAGUUCAUCAUUGGCAUCCUUGUGAACAGUUCUGAAGAUAGCUUUCAGAGACUAAUUACGGUGAUAUUUCUCUCAAACUUUUUCUACAAAUAACCUGGGACUUCCACUGACUGUGCCACUACUUCAGCGUCCACCAUUAGUGGCAUUGGCCGCCCUCUGGGCCCAAACCCACUAUCGUGCAAGAAAAAGAAAUCAAAGCCUCAACCAUCAGCUGCUCAAAUCAUCAGCUUCUCCUGCUCCUCCUCCUCCUGGUAUACACGAACUCCAGUUCGUCGAGAGGCUCCCUGGAGCAAUGGCAUGCUCCAAGCCCGCCGAGACUGAAUCAUUCGACAUCAAUUCUCUGCACAGCGUGGCUCGACGUGCAGCCCGCCGGCUCCUUCGUGUACGUCCAGACAAGAUGCUAUGAUGUACAAUUUAAUGCAUGAAGACCCGACCCAACCAGCGUCGCCAUGGCACGGCGCCUACUGGCGAAGGACCACCACCUCCCCGACGACGUGCCCAAACCCGCCGACGAGGCCCGCCGCCCCAACCCUCCUCCUUCCUCCUCGCAUCGGGAUGAGCAAGAUCCAGCCGGCGCCUAAAGCCCAUUCCACCAUUGUACCUCUCCCUUCCGCUCGCUGCACUGACCGGUGUGACAUAGCGCCGCCGCCAAGGGAUUGAGGCUUCGCCAAGGAACAAGACUGGUAACUAGCGCAAAGGAGACUAUGUCGAGAGGUGGCACUGCUAGACUUGCUGAUGUGUAGUUAUGGCAUAAAAAAGAUGAAAAAAAUGGUAUCUUGUAUGAUUCCAUAAAGUGUACGUAUCAAAUCUUCCCAUGUGGAUCAGUACAACUUAUGUACGGCCUUGAGUUCACAAAUCUUAUAGUAAUCUUUGUAGUACUUUCCGUAACACUAAGUAAAGCAAGAGUAGCCCUUUUUUGUGAGCAACAAUUCAAACGAAUCUGUUGUAUCAGUUCUUAUGAUAGAUAGAAGAAAGUUCACCAGCCAAAA
rnacentral:rRNA from 1 species